CUUGAAGCUCUCGCUACUAGAUGAGCCUGCGUAAGAUUAGCUUGUUGGUAAGGUAAUGGCUUACCAAGGCUACGAUCUUUAGCUGGUCUGAGAGGACGAUCAGCCACAUUGGGACUGAGACACGGCCCAGACUCCUACGGGAGGCAGCAGUGGGGAAUAUUGGACAAUGGGCGCAAGCCUGAUCCAGCCAUACCGCGUGUGUGAAGAAGGCCUUCGGGUUGUAAAGCACUUUAAGCAGGGAGAAAAAGCAAUAAGUUAAUACCUUAUUGCCGUGAUGUUACCUGCAGAAUAAGCACCGGCUAAUUCCGUGCCAGCAGCCGCGGUAAUACGGAAGGUGCAAGCGUUAAUCGGAAUUACUGGGCGUAAAGCGCGCGUAGGUGGUUUGUUAAGUUGGAUGUGAAAGCCCUGGGCUCAACCUAGGAACUGCAUCCAAAACUAACUCACUAGAGUACGAUAGAGGGAGGUAGAAUUCAUAGUGUAGCGGUGGAAUGCGUAGAUAUUAUGAAGAAUACCAGUGGCGAAGGCGGCCUCCUGGAUCUGUACUGACACUAAGGUGCGAAAGCGUGGGUAGCGAACAGGAUUAGAUACCCUGGUAGUCCACGCCGUAAACGAUGACAACUAGCUGUUGGGAGACAAUGUCUUUCAGUGGCGCAGCUAACGUUUUAAGUUGUCCGCCUGGGGAGUACGGCCGCAAGGCUAAAACUCAAAUGAAUUGACGGGGACCCGCACAAGCGGUGGAGCAUGUGGUUUAAUUCGAUGCAACGCGAAAAACCUUACCUACUCUUGACAUACUUGGAAGCUCUUGUAAUGAGAGUGUGCCUUUUGGAGCCAAGAUACAGGUGCUGCAUGGCUGUCGUCAGCUCGUGUCGUGAGAUGUUCCGUUAAGUCGGAUAACGAGCGCAACCCUUACCC
rnacentral:rRNA from 1 species